rnacentral:rRNA from 1 species
AACGUAGGAGACAAACGUUAUCCGGAGUUACUGGGCGUAAAGGGCGUGUAGGUGGUUUCGUAAGUCUGGCGUGAAAUUUUUCGGCUUAACCGGGAAAGGUCGUCGGAUACUGCGAGGCUAGAGGACGGUAGAGGCGUGUGGAAUUCCGGGUGUAGUGGUGAAAUGCGUAGAGAUCCGGAGGAACGCCAGUGGCGAAGGCGACACGCUGGGCCGUACCUGACACUGAUGCGCGACAGCAUGGGGAGCAAACAGG